AGCACGUGGACAGGGAUAGGGGACAGAGGUGGAGGAUGGUGGUGGAUGGUGAUGGAUACGCUGGGGAUGUGGAACAUGGUCUUAGACUAGAUAGGGAGUGGAGUCUGCAGUGGGAGAUAGGGAAUGAGGGAUGGGAGCCAGGGAUGGGGAAGUCAGAGAUAGGCACAAGGGACAGGGGGAAGGCAGGAGGGAUGGGAGUGGGGUGGGGAGCAGGAUGUUGGGGUCUGGUUCUGGAGCCCACGGACGGACAGGGACAGGGGCUGAGAAUGUGAACGACUGAAAGAGUCCAAAGACAAGGGAGAGCAGUUAGGAGAUAGGAGCAGGGCCUGGAGGUGGGGGUUAAGUCACAGGGACAGGAGAUUGGGGCAUGGGGGUGGCUGAUAGAGCCCAAGGCUCCGGGCUGGUGUCCCAAGGUCGCAGAUCUUGAGGUUAUUGUACAAAAGCUCUCAUACAUAAAGCUUGCUGUACUGCGCUGCGUUGAUGUGCACUGCAAUUAAUCACACUGUGACUUCAAGAGUGAUAACGUGUUCCUGGUGUAACUUUUUAUUGCAGACGGAGAAAAUAGGUCGGUCUGGUCGGGGUGCAAUGAGUCAACCAUUAAAGGCAGAGCUGUUCCCAGCUCCCAGCUCAGCGUUCCGCGUUAUCGACGAGAUUAAGGACCAGGAUGUCAUGGAGAGGUGACAAAGGUCCUGGUGUUGUGGGCAGAGCUGGGAGUGGGCUGCUCAGUCUGGGUGCCCCUCACAGCACCAGAGGGCCACGCCAGCACCAGCACUGACUGCUCCCUGUGUUUAGAAAUUAGAGGAAGGAUUUGAAGUGUGCAAGAGUUUGGCACGUGGAAUAGAGCCCAGCUCUGCUAUGGGCUAAACAAUCUCAGAAGAAAAAUCUUGCCCUGAGGAAACUGGAACACUCUAGGUUGUGUUUCUGGGACCUUCACCAAGAGCCUCUUCUCACCCGUUGCACUGGAUGAAGCUCAGAGGUCAUCUCCUCCAUCGCUCUCAUCAUGGGGGAUCAACCACUGCCAUCCAGUUGGGUUCCUGGGACCUCAGUGAUGGAGAGGUCUUUUGGGUUGGUGUGUAGUGGAAGUACUUCCUUAAUCAAGCAGAAUGACAUCUCUAAGAUGAUCUGAUGAUGUCUCUUCAUGUCAGAUUGAGUUGUGUCUUCUACUCUCUUGCAUUUUGUAGCACUGCUUCCUCAUGUCAAGCACUGGCACAGGGAGGUGGUGCAUUCCCCAUCCCUGGAGAUGUUCAAGAGCCACGGGGAUGUGGCACUGAGGAACACGGUUCCCAUAUGGUAGCUCAGAAGGGUCAGCCAAAUCCUGGCACCACACACCGUUACCAGACUCAGUGAUGUGAGCCUGGCCUGACAGUCCUGCGGUUCUCUUAGAAGGAUGAGCAGUGUCACUAUGGUUUACUCCACAACAAACCUUCCACCAAGGUUGCUGGGAGGGAAUCGCUCGGGCAGAGCUCUCCAGUUCAUUCAGGCACAAUCUUGGUGGAUGUGGCCCACAGCCAGAACAGCUCUGACCUCCAUUAUGUAUUCAGUGACUCAAAGAAACGUUCCUGAGGCUGUGACAAAAGAGAAGAAAAACAAGGAAAUGUACGUGUGAGGCUGUGCUGCAGGCUGCACGCACCGGGGGUGCAUUUAGGAAGUAGUUAAGGAAGCUCCUCGCUGCGCCUGGGGAGCUGGGUCAGAGCUGGGGCGAGUUUCUGUGUCACUUUGGCUUCUCUCCAUUGUCCUUUGAGCCAUCUCAGGUCAGCGUGGCUUCUCCAAGCUCCCCAUGCUGCCAGGAGGUGGGGAUUCUGCUCACGAAGCAAAGGUCCGUGCACACACUUCUCUUCUCUCAAUGACGUUGGUGAGGUAAAUCCUGUCUCUGCUUUGUCCCCAGUAACUGUAGGUCAGCAUCCUCUCGGGGCAGCCAGUCCUGCUGGAACCAUCCCACCUGGGUUAAGCACUCGUCAGAACAUCUCUGAUAAGGAGGAUCCUCUGGAAGAGCUGAACUGGGAGAGUGGGCUGGCAUGCAUUUAUGUUGGCAGGUCUUUGGAGACCCAGGAAGCGCACCAAGGACUGGGAGAACUCAUUGAUAGCAGCCCUGCAGUGAAGAACUUGGAGAUCCUGGUGGAUGAAAAGCUGGAUGUGAGCCUGCAGUGUGCUCUUGCAGCCUGGAAGGCCAGUAGCACCCUGGGCUGCAUCAAUAGAGAGGUGGCAGCAGGCAGGGUGGGUUGUUACACACCUCAGGACCCAGGAGUCAGACCAGCUCCUCAUCCGGUGUCACUUAGAAGCUUGGCUCCUUUGUUGCUUUGUUGACUUUAGUUUCCAUACCUGCAGGAAGCUGACAACCGUUGGAUUUAGCAUAACAAAAAAAAGUGGGGCAAGUACAUGGCACUGCUUACUGAUUGAUCUUGAGCUGUUUUACUGAGGCAUUAUACCAGUAGGGAAGCAGACAAAUCGUGCUGCAGUCAGUAUCAUGCAAUAAGAGCCAUUGAUUCAUAGAGUCAUUGAGAUUGGAGAAGACCUUUAAGAUCAUCCAAUCCAACCUUCAAGCUAUCCCCACCAUGCCCACUCAUAGAAUCAUUAAGGUUGGAAAAGAUCUCUAGGAUCAUCAAGUCCAAUCCUAUGGUAGAAUAACAGAGCGGGAGGUGAGGAAAUGGAAAUUUGGGAAGGAAUUUAGCUUUGUGAUGUGGGAAUGAUUGUGCUUGCCUUUGUUUAUCAAAAGCUCUGAGAUUCUGAAUGUAAAAAGCUUUACAAUCUUGAAAAUGCAGUUUAGCAAUGCUCAGUGUCUUUUUAACCUCAACAGCAUCAGUCUUCAGGCAUUAAUGAAGUUCCCACCCUUCCUUCUCUGUUCUUCUGUAUUAGAGACCUGCUGCUUCUCUCCUGUACGUGGGACAAAGAAGGACCAUGGAGGUUUGUAGCACCAAGACUCACAUAGGAAGGAUUUGGAAAACUCUCUGCUCCUACCUGCUGCUCAAAGCAGGGUCUGCUCUCAGGUUGGGUCAGGUUGUGAAGGGUUUUAUCCAGUCAUAGAAUCGUUAAGGUUGGAGAAGAACCUCCAAGAUUUACCAAGCUCAACCCCAACCCACCCCAUCGUGCCCAUUGACCUCAGUGCCACCUCUCCACGAUUCAGGAACACCUCCAGGAAUGAAUGGUGACUCCACAGCCCCCUGAGCAGCCUUUACCACUGCAUGACCUUUGGAGAAGAGGUUUUUCUCUUCUGUCCAACCUGAACCUUCCCUGGUGCAACGUGAGCCUGCUUAAACAUAAGUGAGACCAGGACCAGACUUCGUUCCAAAAAAGAAAUCCUUCGGUGGAAGAGCUUCAGUAAACUAACUGUAAACCUGAGGGAGGUCUGCAAUACCCCAACAUACACUGUGCUCUGAAGGUGAAAAGUUUAAUACUACAGUUACUAGGUCAGGAAAACAUCCCAGAUGUAGAAGGCAGGAAACUUAAAGGAGGAAAAAACAGAAGAUGAAAAGACACUGAAAAAAAAACACAAAUGAUGAUUAAUGUCUUCAGAGCAACGCUGAACAUCAGUGUCAAGCCAGGAGCAAAAUGACAGAGAAGCAGAAUAGCUGCAGUGACACGAAGGAACAGAGAGAAACGGAAUGAGAGAGAAAGUUCAUGGGACCGCGGGAGGAAGAGGAUGUCUGGAUUUUAUUACCAGCAAAGCAGACGUGAUGCCAGCCGAGUAACGUGGUUGUUGUGAGUGCUGGAGGGCUCUGCAGGGGCACAUGCGUCACAUGAGCUGAUUUUAACACUUACUGAGUGUGUAAUUUCCUUCCCUGCCCUUUGCCAGGUAAAAAAUUGACGCAUUCAAGUGAAGAUCUGUAUCCGCUCAGAGCUCUCAUGAAGCUGGGGGAUUCAGCCUACAGCAAGGGGCUCUUCUGCUCAGUGCACAGCAGCACAUCUCUGGGGCUCUACAAUUUGGAGCUGUGUGGGGCUCUGAGCAAUGAUGCUUUGGGAUAAUGAGCAUCCCUGCCUUAAAACCCAUGGAGUAAUGGGUUGGUCUUGUAGAAUCAAAGAAGGCUUUGAGUGGGGAGGACCCUUAAAGCCCAGUUGGUCCAAAUCCCUGCAGUGCACAGGGAGACCCGCAGCUCCAUCCUUGUGGUCCUUUUCAACCCAAGCCAUUCUGUGAUCAUCUCUGGGCAACCUGUUCCAGAGCUCCACAGGUCUUCAGCUCAUUCCACUCUGGGAGCCAUUGCAGUGGGUGAUUUCAGAAGUGCAGUGGGAUGAAGGAGAAUGGCCUCACUUCAGCUACAGUUUGCACAAGAUGAAGUGCAAUGCAGCUCAGCUCUUUCUAUUCCCAGCAAGAGCAGCAGAGCCUGCAGCAAGCAGGAGCUUCCAGCAAGCGUGGUGUGCAGCUGUCUCCUGCUGACCGAGGGAGGGAACUGCAUGAGAUGAGGUGAUGUGACAGCAAAUCUGACUGAAAAAAAAAAAAUUAAUUAAUUAAAGACAUUGACUAAUGAUGAGUUUAUUAAGCCACGUAUGGAAAGAGUGGCAGAUAUCAUUUGUCCUGAUUAAAAAAAAAAAAAAAAACAAAAAAAAAAACCAUGGAUUUUUCUCAAACCAUUUUGUCUCACAGAAUUGUAGGGGUUGGAAGGGACCUCCAGAGAUCAUCGAGUCCAACCCCCUGCCAAAGCAGGUUCCCUACAGCAGGUCGCACAGGUCGGCAUCCAGGCAGGUCUUGAACCAGACUAGAGCCAGGUGAACUGAAGAAAAAGGAAAAUCUACAGAAAGAAAUUUGGAGAGCGGAGCUGCCAAUUUCAAAUGUGAUGCUUUGGCAAGAAAUAGAAGUAGUGAUGCUACAGAUAGGGCUCAACAGAGUUCUCAGAGAGACGUCCCAUCCCUGGGGACAUUUGAGGUGAGGCUGGGCAGGACUCUGAACACCUGAUGGAGCUGUGGGUGUCUCUGUGCAUUGCAGAGUGGGACUUGAUGGCCUUUAAGCGUUCCUUCCAACUCAAAGCACUCCAUGAUUCAACUUGCUGUGUUUAUUAGGAGUAUUGAUAACAGAUGAAUGUCAUUGAAGGAAUGGCUGCUUCGGCGUUGCUGAAGGACACAACUCAAGUCUCUCCGUCUGUAUGAAGCAGUAAAAACUACAAUGAAGCAGUUUUCUUUAUCCUUUGUCAACGUAUCUGAUAUAUCCCAUAUCUGAUGGCACUCCAGCAAUUUUUGGUAAAAAGAGGAACUCAUAAAAUUAACAGAAGGUAAGGCAAUAGAAGAUGAUGUAAAUUUUGCCAGCAGCUCAUGUUUGAUGAAGUCGCACUGCAUCAUACAUCAAGCUACGGCAGGGGAGAUUCAGGCUGGGCAUGAGGAAGUAUUACUUGUCAGAAAGGGUGGUCAGGCACUGCAAUGGAUGCACAGGGAGGUGGUGGAGGCACCGAGCCUGGGGGUGUUCAAGGAAAGGCUGGAUGUUGUGUUGAGGGACGUGGUUUAGUGGGAGCUGUUGGGAAUAGGUGAACGGUUGGACUGGAUGAGCUUUUAGGUCUUUUCCAACCUUGGUGAUUCUAUGAUUCUAAGAACAUUUCUAUGCACAAAAGCUUGGAAAAUGGAUAAUGUUGUGCAAAUCAUCAUCAAAGCUGUGAAUUUCAUAAUGUCAAGGGACCAAAUCUUGGCCAGUUCCAGGAGUUCCUUAAAAGUACAGGUGUUGAUGAUGGGGUGAUCAUUUGCUUUUCUGAAGUCAGGUGGGUCAUUUAUGAUGAAGUGCUAAAAAGAAGUCAUCAUUUACAAAAUGACAUCAAGUUGUUGAUGGGAACAAAAGGAAAACUGGUCCCAAAACUUGAAGAUGAAAAUUGCUCACAGAGAUAGCACUUCUGGUGGAUUGGACUGCUUGUUUGAAUGAGUUAAACACACAUCCUCAAGAUGAAAAUCAACUUGUUGGGGCUGUGUUUCAGACCAUAACAGUGUUCAAAAUGAAACUUAAAUUCUGGCAAGCUGAAGGCAUGGCAAAUAAUUUUAUGCACGUUGAGACAUUGGAUAAACACAGUCAUCAUAGAAUGACAGAAUGGCCUGGGUUGCACAGGAGCACAGCGCUCAUCCAGCUCCAAGCCCUGCUGUGUGCAGGUCGCCAAGCAGCAGCCCAGGCUGCCCAGAGCCACAUCCAGCCUGGCCUUGAAUGCCUGCAGGGAUGGGGCAUCCAGUCCUGUAAACAGUGAAAAAUAAGCAGCCUUGCUUUAUGUUUUGAUAAACGAAUUUGAGAAUGGGUUUCAAUAUCACUGAAAAAGUCAUCAAUUUUUGAUAUGUUUGUGAAUCCGUUUUGAGUCGGCUUCAAUAGAUGACCCGUGAAUUUCCAAAUGGAAUGCACAGAUGCAGUUGGACAAUCUGCACAAGGAAAACGUGGAUCACAUCUCUACCAGACUUCUAAAAGACCUGUCUUACCAGAGAAGAAUAUCCCCCUCAACGUGGCCCAGCCAAGCCAAUAGCUGGACACCCGCAGGGUAUAUAACACAGGAGGAGGCAAGGAGCUUUCUUGGCCUGGACACAGAACACUGAGUUGACUUUGCUCCCAUAUCCCUUCCCUAUGACACAGGAGGAGUGCACCAUGCUGGAUUUGAGAAGAUGCUUUUCUAUUCUGUUCUUUCUUGGAAGAUUUGCAUUAUUUCCUAGCUGUUGCUCUUGUUUGUCUUCUUUAAUUGCACACCUGCUGGGGAAAAUGAUGUGCAGGGCUGCUAGAAAACACACUGCUCUGCCACAGCUCCUCCUGUGCCCAUCCUCCUAUUGAGUAAAUGUCAGAUACUCCAUGCUGAGGCACACUAAUUGCCUUGAAAUAAAAGACGUCAAGAACAAGAGUCCGUUAGGGAUCCAUCCUGUCCAUCUCUUCAUGCAGCCCUGAGAACAGGCGCGGAAUGAGAUGGAAUCAGAAAUGCCAGCUACCAGUGUGACUCAAACUGGGAAAUUCUCAUGAUGGUUUUGAAGCCAUUCAUGUCAGUCAUCUUUCUUAAGAUGUGACAGCUUAUGCUUUUUUUGGGUGAUGCUGUGUGGAGCCAGGAGCUGGACUCGAUGAUCCUUAUGGGUCCCUUCCAACUCAGGAUAUUCUGUGAUUCUAUGAUCCUACUUGGUGGGAGACAUUAUAUUCUUUUUCCUGAUAUAUUCCCAGAUGCUUUUUUGUCCUAUAGUGCUUAAACCUUGUGCUUUUAUUUCUUUA